rnacentral:lncRNA from 1 species
AUCGGCAGGAAAAGCACUGAGACGGUUCAGACAAAUUCAGGGCCGUCACAACACACACACACAGAGCCGUAUCCUUCCCCCGCUUAACCACAUCAUCCAUCAGCUAUGCCUGAGCUGGUUUGCCUCUCAAUCUCACUCUAAUCAGCCCGGCUGCAGUGUUGAUGUGGGGUCAAGAAGAUGCCACUCCUGGAUUCCGUUCCGUUGCCUAGGAGUGCUGAGACCAUAUCUAUCUCUCCACAGAGCUAGCGCAGCACACAGCAUGCACAAACAAAAGACACCCCGCGUCGCCUUGGCAACUAUCAAGAGGUGUUGUCUCUGAAUGGAUUCACUUUUCCCUGUUUUUCUAUUUUCCUUUCACCAGCUUCAUGUGUCAGCUCUAAUCAAUAGCAGGAGCUGUCUUUGUUUGGCUCGUAGCCGACUGACUGAUUUGGGAGCUGUCUUGAAGGAGUUCCCACAUAUGCUGAGCACUUGUUGGCUGCUUUUCCUUCACUCUGCGGUUCCAACUCAU